GAUGAACGCUGGCGACGUGCCUAAUACAUGCAAGUCGAACGCAUAGCGAAAGGUGCUUGCACCUUUCAAGUGAGUGGCGAACGGGUGAGUAACACGUGGACAACCUGCCUCAAGGCUGGGGAUAACAUUUGGAAACAGAUGCUAAUACCGAAUAAAACUUAGUGUCGCAUGACACAAAGUUAAAAGGCGCUUCGGCGUCACCUAGAGAUGGAUCCGCGGUGCAUUAGUUAGUUGGUGGGGUAAAGGCCUACCAAGACAAUGAUGCAUAGCCGAGUUGAGAGACUGAUCGGCCACAUUGGGACUGAGACACGGCCCAAACUCCUACGGGAGGCUGCAGUAGGGAAUCUUCCACAAUGGGCGAAAGCCUGAUGGAGCAACGCCGCGUGUGUGAUGAAGGCUUUCGGGUCGUAAAGCACUGUUGUAUGGGAAGAACAGCUAGAAUAGGAAAUGAUUUUAGUUUGACGGUACCAUACCAGAAAGGGACGGCUAAAUACGUG
rnacentral:rRNA from 1 species